rnacentral:rRNA from 1 species
UCAGGACGAACGCUGGCGGCACGCUUAACACAUGCAAGUCGAACGGAGUUAGAUUGGAGCUUGCUUUGAUCUAACUUAGUGGCGGACGGGUGAGUAACACGUGAGCAACCUGCCUUUGAGAUUGGGAUAGCUUCUGGAAACGGAUGGUAAUACCGCAUAACAUUAUCUGACCGCAUGAUCGGAUAAUCAAAGAUUUAUCGCUCAAAGAUGGGCUCGCGUCUGAUUAGGUAGUUGGUGAGGUAACGGCUCACCAAGCCGACGAUCAGUAGCCGGACUGAGAGGUUGAACGGCCACAUUGGGACUGAGACACGGCCCAGACUCCUACGGGAGGCAGCAGUGGGGAAUAUUGCACAAUGGGCGGAAGCCUGAUGCCAGCGAUGCCGCGUGGAGGAAGAAGGUUUUCGGAUUGUAAACUCCUGAUCUGAGGGACGAUAAUGACGGUACCUCAGGAGAAAGCUCCGGCUAACUACGUGCCAGCCGCCGC